rnacentral:rRNA from 1 species
GUCUACGGCCAUGCCACCCUGAACAAGCCCAAUCCCAUCUGAUCUUGCUUGGAAGCUUAGCAGGGUUGGGCCUGGUUAGUCCUUGGAUGGAGGACCACCUAGGAAGACCAGGUGCUGUGGGCA